GAGCUUGUCAGUGGCCUGAGGAGAAUGAGUAGCCAUAGCAGUGGCAGCAACAGCAAGGAAGGGCCCAGCCAACCACUGCUGCUGUUUGGGGCUACUGAGGCCAUUGGCAGAGGGAGGAAGGCAGGCAAGGCAUGGGCAUGGGCCUGGGCCUGUCAGUGGCCUGAGGGGAACGAGCAGCCAUGGCGGUGGUGGCAGCAAAGAAGGGCUCAGUCAAUCGCUGUUACUGCUGCUUUGCUGCUGCUGCUGCUCCUGUGUGGAGGAGUGGGGCUUGGGUGAGGAGGUCUCUGGAGAUAGGGGACUGCAGAUUGGCCAAUAGGCACCAGCAAUGCUGCAGCCAUGACCAAAAGGGGUGAGGCGGAUGGAGUAAAGUGAUGGAGGAGUAACCAAGAGGAGUGAAGGAGUGGCAGCAAUGGGAUGGAGGAGGAGGAGCAGGAGUGCGGCUCAGGGCUCGACUCCUGAGAGGGAAUACUUUUCUGCCUGUCGGCCAAAGCAGCACCACCGCUCUGCCUGCCCUUGGCUUUAUGCACAGCAGAUCAGCUGGGUGGAUGUCAGCUCCUAUCUCCCCGUCUGUCUACUAACUCCAACCAUCCUUGCACCUUGGAAUGUCAGGGUUUGGUUCCAGUUGUAGUACUAGACAUCACUGGAAAGGAGAGAGAAGGAGAUGAGCUGUUGCUGCUCUUGGCAGCCAUUUCCAUAACAUCAGCUUCUGGCCUAAGGAAAAGGAGGAGCUAUGAAGAGAUGAAACCAUCAGUCUUUGCUAGUACUUCCCAUUAGCAGAAACACUCAGAAAAGUUCAAAUAUAAAAUCAAGGACAAUCUAACCUUCAUAGUGUUGAAUCAGCAGUAAGUUGUCCAAGUUAAUUUGGUUCUUGGCAGGAGAAAAAACCUUAAAGUUCAAUAGAAAAGGGUUAUAUAAAAAGCUUUGCAGAGUGCAUGUGAAUUGCAGAUAGAUGACCUGUCAGUUUUUCUUGAAGAACAUUAAAAAAUACACUUCCAUCUCCCUCAUUGAGUGGGAAUACUGUCCAUAGAAUAUCCAUUCUUCAUGCUACAAGAACUUGCUAUGCAUUGGAAACAAGAGCAACUCUACUGUUCUGCAAAUCUACAUGAGAACUUGUAAGGAAUCCUGCUUAUCCUGAACAAAACAAACUCCAAGUGAUGCAGUACAGAUUG